rnacentral:RNase_P_RNA from 1 species
GCGGAUGGCUGGAUGACCGCGUGUAUCGUCAGAUAUGCGAGGAAAGUCCGGACUCCAUAAGGCAAGGGUGCCGGGUAACGCCCGGCUGGGGUAACCCAAGGGAAAGCGCCACAGAAAAGAAACUGCCCAGCAUGCUGGGUGAUGGUGAAACGGUGGGGUAAGAGCCCACCGCGGGUCUGGCAACAGAACUGGCACGGCAAGCCCCACCCGGAGCAAUGCCAAAUAGGGGCCUUACGUGGGCUGGUCUGGCA